AUGAGAUUCAAGAUAUCUGUACAAGAAGAGAUUGGACAUGAAGGAUUACUCACUUGUGUUGCAUGGAAUUCAACAGAAGAAAUUUAUUCUUGUGGGGAAGAUCAUUUAUUAAGAUGCUGGCAUUUAGAAGGUGGUAUUGCACGUUCUACUAUUGUAACCAAAUUUCCGAAUGAUUUUUAUCCUACUGAUAUGCAAUGGCAUCCACGUCCUAAUCAUACUGCUGCUGCUGCUGACAAGAAGUCGUUUUUAGAUGUACUAUUAAUUACUACAGCCGAUGGUAAAUACCACUUAGUUAAUAAAAAUGGUCGCAUUGAAAAAAGUAUUGAUGCUCACAAAGGUGCAACUAUAAUAGGUAGAUGGAGUACCGAUGGUUCCGCAUUAUUGACAGCUGGCGAGGAUGGAUUAAUUAAGAUCUGGUCUCGCAGCGGUAUGCUUCGAUCUACGCUGGUAAAAGCAAACCUUCCCAUAUUAACGUCAAGUUGGAGUCCUGAUUGUUCAAUGAUAUUGUACUCUCAAGGUGGGAAUUUGCUUCUUCAGUCAUUUAACUCUAAUUCCAAACCAUAUAAGUGGCAUGCACAUGAUAAUCUCAUUCUGGCCUCGUGCUGGAAUCCAACAAAUGGACUUAUAGUUUCUGGUGGUGAAGACUGUAAAUAUAAGGUAUGGGAUGCUACUGGACAUCAACUAUAUAGCAGUAAUAUCGGUGAUCAUCCUGUAACAGCAAUUAGCUGGUGUCAUUCUUCCGGAAAUUAUUUUGCUGUUGGAUCUUUUAAUACAAUUAAGCUUUGCGAUAAAAAUGGGUGGUCACAUUCCAUGGAAAAAGUAAAUACUGGAAGCAUUUACAGUAUAGCUUGGUCCAGCGAUAGUACACAAGUUGCUAUAGCAUGCAGUAAUGGACAACUUUUGACUGGACACGUCAUAGAUAGAAGAUUAGAAUGGGAUAAUUAUGAAGCUACAUUGAUAAGAAAAAAGGUAAUCGAGGUUAGAGAAGUUGGUAACGAAGUUCGUGAAAUGUUAGAAAUCUCUGAUCGUGUUGUACACCUCGAAUUUGGCUUUGGUCACUUGGUUGUCAUCACACCUGCUCAAUGUCAUGUGUACUCUGUGACAAAUUGGAAUACACCAGCGAUAUUUAAUUUGAAAAGAAGUACUAUUUCUGCUGUUCUUCUUGCACAAAAGCAUUUCUUAAUUGUGGAAUGGAAUACUGUAUCAUUGUACAGUUAUCAAGGUCGUUUAUUGGGUAGUCCAAGAUGGAAAGGUUUUUCUUCAGAACCGCUUUAUCCUAUUUGCAUAUCAUUGUGUGCUGAUACUUUGGUUAUAAGGAAUCAAAAUAAUGAGAAACUGCUUCAUAUCUUGGACAUACCUUACAACAAGCCCAUAAUAGAAAGUCAAUCAUAUUCACAUCCGCACAACGUGACACAAGUAGCAUUGAAUUAUAUUGGUGACAUAAAAGAUCGACAAUUGGCAUUAAUAGAUGUCAAUAAAGAUUUAUUUUUAAUUGCAAUAAGGGUUACAGGCUUUGGAAGAAUAUGCAAAAUAGCUGCAAUGGCACAAAAUAUUGCAUGGGCAACUGAUGCAAAUGUAUUAGCUGCAAUGUUGGAUGCAAAUUUAUCAGUAUGGCUAUGUCCUAACUGUGUUCAUUAUAGUGAUAGUAAAGUAAUACGACGAACAAGAAUUGAUAAAGAACACAGUGAAUUUGGCAAACAACCUAACAUUGUGAGUGUUCGUAAUGGUAUGGUUAUGGUGAGACGUGGAGAUGGUGCUAUUGUAGCUUCAUCCUUUUACAAUUUUUUUACAAGUUUCCAUGAACACAUAUCAAACAAAAAGUUGAAAGAAGCGCUGUCUCUCUGUCGUACUGCUCAGAAUGAGAUAUUAUGGACUUGUAUGGCUGUCAUUACAACUGAUAAUAGAGAACUGCAUGCUGCAGAAGAAGCUUAUGCUGCUAUUUGUAGAUUUGAUAAAGUAGAUUAUAUUAAAUACAUCAAGAAUUUGCCUUCUGCCACAGAAAGACAUGCAGAAAUAGCAUUACUAGCAGGGGAUCUAUCAAUGGCCGAAGGUAUACUGUUACAAAAUAGUUUAACUAAGGAAGCUAUACAUAUGAACAUUCAAGUUUAUAAUUGGAAUAGAGCUUUGGAAUUAGCAAGAAAAUAUAAAAAGCAACUCGAGGAAGUUUUAACUGCAAGAGGAAGAUAUUUGCAGAUUAUUAAUAAAAAUGAAACCAAUCAUAGUUUCCUUACAUUUGUGGCAAAUAUUUCUCCAUUACAAUUAAAUCAAGAAAACGAGACGAAGAUCAAUAUAAAAAAUGAUGCUGAAUAAUAUGAAUAAAUCAAUGUUAAACAAAACAUCAAAUUCCAAAAUACAGCAUACAAUAUAUUACUGAUAUGUUUUAUGUAAUUAAAAAAGUGAAUAGAAAGAGGUUGAAAAAGAGCGAGAAAAAGAGAAGUGAAUACUCUAAUGUUUCGGUAGUAAAAUGAAAUACAUAUAAAGAUAAAAAUUGAGUUAUUUAAACAAUUAGAGAAAUUAAACAUGAAUUGAUUGAAGUAAAUAGAAUGCAAAAGGUAUAUGUUUCAUGUACAAUUAAGUCUAGAUUGUUUAUUGAGGAUUGUAUUUAUGUAAUAAUUUGAUCAUAUAUCUAUAAUAUAGAAAAAAAUGUAUGUUCCUGCAGUAGAAAUUCUUAUAUAAAUAUAGAAGAACAAUAUAUAUAUAUAUAUAUAUAUAUAUAUAUAUAUAUAUGUCUGUUAUAAAUAUUCUCUAAUUAUUUAUUUAUUCAAUAAAAUUAUUAAUUUAUUCCGUACAAUCCUUAUGGAAAUUGGAUUCUGAUGGAAUUGGCUGAAAAUUCAAUAUGUGUACAUCUUGUCAUCUUGAUAAAAAGUCUCCUCAUAGGCAUAAUUUCUAAUUGACCGUUUGACCUCUACAAAGCUCUACCUGUUAAAAGUGUCUAAUGUCAUACUUUCUUAUUUUCAACGAGUAAGAUGACUUAAAUCAACAUUGUAUUGAAUGCUGUCGCUUCACAUCAAUUAACUCAGGAUCUGAAAUGCACUAUUUUGAAAAUAUUUAUAGAGGGUUAGAGUAGGGAGAAAGAAUAGAGGCUUACUAUAGGUCUGUGAGAGUCUCUGUUGAUUGGUCAGACUUCGUUCAUUCGGAUUAAAAAUCAUGCACUAACUUCAGGAUAGACAGGAAUAGUUUGACACUGAAAGUGAGUGUUGAAUUAGAGAGAAAGGGAGAGUUGGAGAACCUGUUCAAGUUCCUCGGCAGAAGAUGGAAAAGAUAAAGAAUGAGGAACUCUUUCGAAUUCUUCACCAUGAAGUGGCUCGAGAGAAUGAACAUUCAGGAACUCAAGAAGUAAUCGUGGAAGAAAAGGUAAUGAUGACAAUGGUUUUCACUCUGAACCCUGUUUUUUUAUAUCGUUUAUAUAGAGAUUUCCGAACUCACUGCUACAUAGAAAUACCACUUUACCCCACAUCACCUUACAUUUCUUAAUUACAUUUUAAAACCAUAUAUCAUCCCCCACAGAAAAAACUGUAAAGAAUUUUAUUGCAAAAAAAUAAUACUUCAGUCAGGAUAGGAACCUGGAUCUCUCGACUUCCGUGUGUCCUACGACCGUAGAAUGCCCGCACAGAAUUCGAGAAAUCUAUGUUCGAACUCUGUUUGAAGUGUUUUUUUUUCGCAAUAAAAUUUACAGUUUUUGAGGAGGAUUUUGCGGCGUUCAGUUCGAAUAAGUUAAAGAAUGAAAAAAUCACAUUAAAAUUUAUUGAUUUAUUUUAAGAAAAUAAAAUAAUAUUUUACCCUUUUCUUCUCUCUAUUUACUAUUAACGAAAUUAAGAAAUGUAAAUUAAAAUAUGUAGUGCAACAAAAAUGUGACAAUAUGAAGAAAUAUGGUAACAUUACUAUUGUAAUAAUUGAUUUAACUGAUGAUGUGACAUAAGUUUGUUCUCCAUGCCAAAGUUCAAGUUCAAAUCCACAUAAAACAAUAUAACUCUAAAUCGGUUUUUAAGCGAUUUAGAAGCGAUCGCUCUACCUCAUCUCUCGGAAGACUAAAAGCAAACCACUGAGAAUAACUCUGCCCAAGAAAGUUUCUUCUAAGGUCGUUCGGAGCCGGCGUUAAAACUGUAGGUUCUAUAUACAGAUAUCUACGGAUAUAUGCAAAUGAGACAAGCCUAUGCGCUGACAAACAUAUGGCACGCGAAGAAAUGAGUCAUUGAUUUACUGUACAAAAAAUAUUUUUCAUUAAAAUAUUUUUAUCGUAAAAUAUAUUUUAAUUUACAUUCUUAUUCUAUGCAUUGGGGUAUUCUAAUAAUCCAAAUCUAUCACAUUUUCCAAUUUCAGAAAAUACAUAAAAUACAUAGCAAUAGAGUUCUAUACUGUUUAAGAGGGGACCCUAGUCCCCCCUAGUCUACACUAGGGGACACCUAGUGUAAACAGCCGUUUUUUCUCGAUUUAAAAAAAAUAUGGCAAAAUGUAUUGAAUGUAGACAAAGUAUACGAUAAUAUUCACUAUUUAAACUAAUUAAAAAAAUUUUGUUGGUGUUAAAAAAUUUCAAAAUGACGGCACAGCAGCUGCUUGAAGUUGGCUCCUCGAAUUUACGCCGGCCUACAUCGAGGUCACAAAAUUAAUAUGAAACAAAAAUUUCAAGAAAAUUUCGUUAGUUUAUAUAAAAACACACAGCAUAUACCUAAAUUCAUAAAAUUGCAAAAACGGCGACAUAAACGAAAAAAGCACUUUAAACAAUUGUUAAUAAUUAUUGUUUAAAGUAAAAUAUUAAUGAUCGGAUAGAUAUAUACUGGGACCAGAUUGAAGAAUAAACAUGUAAAAUUUGAAGAUCAUCGGUCAAGUAGUUUUUGAGUUACAUGUCUCGGCGCGCAAAAUUUAGCGUUUUGAGAAAAAGACGUUUGAAGUUAUAUACCUACACGCUCCGGCCGCUGAAGCCGACUCACCUUUCUUUGAAAUGAAUACAAAAGAAAGUCUCUUAUAA